CUUUCGCCAAGGAUGAUGUAUCAGGGGGGACCCAUUUCACCGUGACGCCAGUUUCCAGAGGACCGCCGGUGGAGCAGGACAGGUUCAGGUUCUCCGUUAGUUGGAAGCGUGGAUCCUGACUGCGCCACUCAGAAACAUAAUGCGACUUGCAGCCAGAAGAAACCAGAGUAAUUACACGUUAUAUUAGAGAAGAUGGAGAGCAAUGCGUCUGCAGAGCAAGUUUGUGUGCAAUAAGUGGACGGACAUCAAAGAAAUCAGCAAAACUGCAGAAGUUUAGGACAGCAAAGCCAUCUGAUGAUCCUGAUUUCCCACAGCCAGCAGACUGAAGGUAAUUCUGACCGCCAGUCUCAUUUACUCACUUCCUGGUCCGUCUCUGACGCGAGGUCCAGGUGGAGGAUCCCUCCCACCCUCGCU